UAAAUGAAGGUUUUUUUUUUUUUUACAACACAACAAUACAUGAUUUAGUCUUUCAAAAAGUUCGUUUAUGUAUUAUUUGCAAUUGGAGAAUUUAAUAACGAACUAUAGAAGUGAAAUCUUGAGGAGGAAAAAUGAACUAAAUGGAACUAACCAAAAUAAAUCUUUCUUUUCUCGUGCUAGUAAUUCCUCAAACGAAAUGUCGGCAAAUUCAUCCUCUGUGGCCUCCUUCUGCUCAGAGGCUUUGGCUUUCUCCAUACAAGCUCCAAUUUCCAGCAUCUUCAAGUAGAAAUGGCACCAACUUGUGGUACUCAAUUAGAAUGCAAGUCAAUAUUCUGAUAGAAACAUGCUGAUACCAAAAUCUGACAAUGGACGAAGGAGCUGAGUAUGAACUUCUUUUGCUACUAUAUUGCUCAUCCAAGUGUGCUUGCAGUCAGGAAGAAUGCUUAUAGACCACGGAGGCAAGUUGUAAUGCCUAUCUCCAAAGGCCACUGUUGCAGUAGAUCUUGAAUCAUGGUUUGCAAGGAAUGCAGCACAAGCUCCCGAUUCUGAUUUGAAGACAUGAGCCUGGACAUGGAUAUGAGAAGUUAGAAAUUUAGUUCAGUCAUAAAUCAUAUUAAAUUUCAGGCAAAAAAAAAAAAAA